GAAAAUGUCUUUAAUUUCUUUAAUUUAGUGCUUUUAACUACUGUCUAUCACAAUACAUGUUAAAUUGUUAUGAAGCGUCGAGAGCCUGUAAGCUAAUGCUGACUCGCUACCUGCAAAAUGAUUAUUUUAUCAUUUGCGCCUACGGCCUCGCCCACGUGUUCGUAGUUAGCUCUUAGACCUUUGAGCAAUCAAACCACAAAGAAAUGGAUCCAAGCUGCAAGAAUUUGGGAGUAAGAAUGAUUCCUUAGCAUUGUUUAUUAUUAUUGCGUGUAAUGAUGAUUCAUUAGACUAGAGUCUCUGAAAUAGGCCUACUCAAUGAAGCUCUUUACAGUUCACUGAACACGUGCAAUACCACCAUUAGUAUUUCAGUAGAUCUGUCUUGGAUGUCCCUAAAUUGUGAAAUGUUUAUAGGCUGUAUGGGAUGAACAGAAGUUACCAAACAGAUGAUGCCAAUAGUUGAAAUCCAGUGGGUAAAGCGUUAUUUCUUUUGCAUGUAACUUGGCAAGCGUGGCUCACGAUAAGCUCUGACAAUGAAACCUUUUGUUUUCAAGGUUUUCAGCUAUGGAUUUUAAGGCAACAUAGUUGGCAUGGAAAGUUCUCCGGCACAUGCAUUUUUAUUGAGGAUGGUAUGAUUCCAAAUGGCUUCAACUAAGGUUGAACUAACUAUUGUAUCAACUAAGAUUUUCAACUGUUGAUUUGAAGCCAUCAUAGAUGGCACGGUUUCCGGCACAUGCAUCCAUACUGAGGUUAACAUGAUGCCAGAAGGCAAUGUCGUGUUAAUGUGCAAGAUGGUGAGGCUUGUGAGUUCAAGCCAUGGCAAAAGAGAAGUUGUGACCAACAUGCAGGAAAAACUGCUGCGAUGUCAACCUUUGCAUUCAAUGUUUGUAGUCUGUAUGUCACUCCAAGGGGAAUUUGUGGAAUAACUUGUAUCAUUCAGUUUAAACCAUUUGAUAUACUCUUUAUUUUUAUGUUUGUUUAUUGAUUACAGAGUGAUGUUAAGUUUCUGUCUAUAAUAAACACUUUCUGGUCUAUAAUAAACUUGAGAAUUUCAAUAUCUUGAUUUUGAGAUGCAGGUCCACAUUUCUGCAUAUCCUUAUGUCCCUUCAUUUUGUUUGUUGCUGGGUGGUGGGUCAUAUGUUAGUGCAAAUACACUUUAGUAGUACAUGGCAUUCAUAUCAUGUAGCUGGUUUGCCUGGCCACACCUAUAAGCAACAUCUUGUGAGUCAUGUUGUAACUGGCACAACACAAACCUUUUGACCUAAGAAUGUGUUGGGUGUAUUGUGUAAAUCAAAUCUAUUUUGAUUGCCUUAAAUAGUUCACCCAAAAAUGGAUAAAAAGAUCCUUUAUUCACCCUCAUGCCAUUCCAGAUGUGUAUGACUAAC